CAGUAGCCGCGGUAAUACGUAGGUGGCAAGCGUUGUCCGGAUUUAUUGGGCGUAAAGCGAGCGCAGGCGGUGAGUUAAGUCUGCUGUGAAAUCCCCGGGCUCAACCUGGGAAUGGCAGUGGAUACUGGCUCGCUAGAGUGUGUCAGAGGAUGGUGGAAUUCCCGGUGUAGCGGUGAAAUGCGUAGAGAUCGGGAGGAACAUCAGUGGCGAAGGCGGCCAUCUGGGACAACACUGACGCUGAGGCACGAAAGCGUGGGGAGCAAACAGGAUUAGAUACCCCAGUAGUCCCUGUCUCUUAUAC
rnacentral:rRNA from 1 species